rnacentral:lncRNA from 1 species
CAACACAUGAUAAAUUAUAUCAUAUAAAUUAUAUAAUACAAAAGAUAAAUUAUAAAAUAGAAAUUAUACAUCUCAUCUCAAUAUCUGUCCCCACUAACUAAUUACAACACAUGAUAAAUUAUAUCAUAUAAAUUAUAUAAUACAAAAUAUAAAUUAUAAAAUAGAAAUUAUACAUCUCAUCUCAAUAUAUAUCCCCACAAACUAAUUACAACACAUGAUAAAUUCUAUCAUAUAAAUUAUAUAAUACAAAAGAUAAAUUAUAAAAUAAAAAUUAUACAUCUCAUCUCAAUAUCUAUCCCCACUAACUAAUUACAACACAUGAUAAAUUAUAUCAUAUAAAUUAUAUAAUACAAAAGAUAAAUUAUAAAAUAGAAAUUAUACAUCUCAUCUCAAUAUCUAUCUCCACAAACUAAUUACAACACAUGAUAAAUUAUAUCAUAUAAAUUAUAUAAUACAAAAUAAAAAUUAUAAAAUAAAAAUUACACAUCUCAUCUCAAUAUCUGUCCCUACUAACUAAUUACAACACAUGAUAAAUUAUAUCAUCUAAAUUAUAUAAUACAAAAUAUAAAUUAUAAAAUAGAAAUUAUACAUCUCAUCUCAAUAUAUAUCCCCACAAACUAAUUACAACACAUGAUAAAUUAUAUCAUAUAAAUUAUAUAAUACAAAAGAUAAAUUAUAAAAUAGAAAUUAUACAUCUCAUCUCAAUAUCUAUCCUCACAAACUAAUUACAACACAUGAUAAAUUAUAUCAUAUAAAUUAUAUAAUACAAAAGAUAAAUUAUAAAAUAAAAAUUACACAUCUCAUCUCAAUAUCUAUCCCUACUAACUAAUUACAACACAUGAUAAAUUAUAUCAUAUAAAUUAUAUAAUACAAAAUAUAAAUUAUAAAAUAGAAAUUAUACAUCUCA